rnacentral:misc_RNA from 1 species
UCUCCGUUGGUGAACCAGCGGAGGGAUCAUUACAGGACUCGCAAGACUCCUUCACCCUGUGAACCUCACUACAAGCACGUUGCUUCGGCGGGUGUCCCGGCGGGGGUUUUCCCUCGCCGGGGCGCACAGCCCGCCGGCAGCCUACUAUUCUCUGUCUCUUUGCGUUGGCAUCUCGAGAAAAAACAAACAAGUUAAAACUUUCAACAACGGAUCUCUUGGUUCUG